UACAGAGGGUGCGAGCGUUGUCCGGAAUCACUGGGCGUAAAGGGCGCGUAGGUGGUGGCUUAAGCGUGCGGUGAAAGCUCGGGGCUCAACUCCGAGUCGGCCGUGCGAACUGGGCUCACUGGAGCAUAGUAGAGGCAGGUGGAAUUCCGGGUGUAGCGGUGGAAUGCGUAGAGAUCCGGAAGAACACCGGUGGCGAAGGCGGCCUGCUGGGCUAUGGCUGACACUGAGGCACGACAGCGUGGGGAGCAAACAGG
rnacentral:rRNA from 1 species